AGAGGAGUGGCGAACGGGUGAGUAACACGUGGGUAACCUGCCCAUCAGAAGGGGAUAACACUUGGAAACAGGUGCUAAUACCGUAUAACAAUCGAAACCGCAUGGUUUUGAUUUGAAAGGCGCUUUCGGGUGUCGCUGAUGGAUGGACCCGCGGUGCAUUAGCUAGUUGGUGAGGUAACGGCUCACCAAGGCCACGAUGCAUAGCCGACCUGAGAGGGUGAUCGGCCACAUUGGGACUGAGACACGGCCCAAACUCCUACGGGAGGCAGCAGUAGGGAAUCUUCGGCAAUGGACGAAAGUCUGACCGAGCAACGCCGCGUGAGUGAAGAAGGUUUUCGGAUCGUAAAACUCUGUUGUUAGAGAAGAACAAGGAUGAGAGUAACUGUUCACCCCUUGACGGUAUCUAACCAGAAAGCCACGGCUAACUACGUGCCAGCAGCCGCGGUAAUACGUAGGUGGCAAGCGUUGUCCGGAUUUAUUGGGCGUAAAGCGAGCGCAGGCGGUUUCUUAAGUCUGAUGUGAAAGCCCCCGGCUCAACCGGGGAGGGUCAUUGGAAACUGGGAGACUUGAGUGCAGAAGAGGAGAGUGGAAUUCCAUGUGUAGCGGUGAAAUGCGUAGAUAUAUGGAGGAACACCAGUGGCGAAGGCGGCUCUCUGGUCUGUAACUGACGCUGAGGCUCGAA
rnacentral:rRNA from 1 species